rnacentral:rRNA from 1 species
UACGAAGGGGGCUAGCGUUGCUCGGAAUCACUGGGCGUAAAGGGUGCGUAGGCGGGUUUUUAAGUCAGGGGUGAAAUCCUGGAGCUCAACUCCAGAACUGCCUUUGAUACUGAAGAUCUUGAGUUCGGGAGAGGUGAGUGGAACUGCGAGUGUAGAGGUGAAAUUCGUAGAUAUUCGCAAGAACACCAGUGGCGAAGGCGGCUCACUGGCUCGAUACUGACGCUGAGGCACGAAAGCGUGGGGAGCAAACAGG